rnacentral:rRNA from 1 species
CGUGUAAGCGGCUGAGCAAGUCAGAUGUGAAAUCCCUGGGCUUAACCCAGGAAGUGCAUUUGAAACUGCUUAGCUUGAGUAAGGAAGAGGGAAGUGGAAUUCCUGGUGUAGAGGUGAAAUUCGUAGAUAUCAGGAGGAACACCGGUGGCGAAGGCGACUUCCUGGUCCUAUACUGACGCUGAGACGCGAGAGCGUGGGGAGCAAACA